UACGGAGGGUGCAAGCGUUAAUCGGAAUCACUGGGCGUAAAGCGCGCGCAGGCGGCUAGAUAAGUUGGAAGUGAAAUCCUAUGGCUCAACCAUAGAACUGCUUCCAAAACUGUUUAGCUAGAGUCUGGGAGGGGAAGAUGGAAUUAGUAGUGUAGGGGUAAAAUCCGUAGAGAUUACUAGGAAUACCAAAAGCGAAGGCGAUCUUCUGGAACAGUACUGACGCUGAGGCGCGAAAGCGUGGGGAGCAAACAGGAUUAGAUACCCUGGUAGUCCACGCCCUAAACGAUGAAUGUUAGUCGUCGGGACUCUAGUAGUUUCGGUGAUGCAGUUAACACAUUAAACAUUCCGCCUGGGGAGUACGGUCGCAAGAUUAAAACUCAAAGGAAUAGACGGGGACCCGCACAAGUGGUGGAGCAUGUGGUUUAAUUCGAAAAUACGCGAAGAACCUUACCUAGCCUUGACAUAUUUUAGAACUCCGCAGAGAUGUAGAGGUGCCUUCGGGAGCUAAUAUACAGGUGCUGCACGGCUGUCCUCAGCUCGUGUCGUGAGAUGUUGGGUUAAGUCCCGCAACGAGCGCAACCCUCGUUCUUAGUUACUAACGGUUCGGCCGAGGACUCUAAGAAGACUGCCUUCGUAAGGAGGAGGAAGGUGAGGACGACGUCAAGUCAUCAUGGCCCUUACGGCUAGGGCAACACACGUGCUACAAUGG
rnacentral:rRNA from 1 species